rnacentral:lncRNA from 1 species
UUGAAGGCGUUUUGGUACAGGUAUGUCCGUGUAGUCCGAAUCUAAGUCCAGAACAUGAAAGACCUGGAGUCUAUCUUCUCUUGGCUAAAAGUGAUGUGAGAGAACUUCUUAAACAUAAACUAAUUAUUUCCUUUGACAUGAUAGGACCUCUUGAAUAGGAUCCAACCAUUUCCUCUUCCCUUGUCAUCACACGUGAUUCAUACAAGUGUUCGG